GGGGGUGUAGCUCAGUGGUACAGCGCGUGCUUAGCAUGCACGAGGCCCUGGGUUCGAUCCCCAGCACCUCCA
rnacentral:tRNA from 1 species